UACGUAGGGUGCGAGCGUUGCCCGGAUUUAUUGGGCGUAAAGGGCGCGUAGGCGGUGCGGUAAGUCACCUGUGAAAUCUCCUGGCUCAACUGGGAGCUUGCAGGCGAAACUGCCGUGCUGGAGUGUGGGAGAGGUGCGUGGAAUUCCUGGUGUAGCGGUGAAAUGCGUAGAUAUCAGGAGGAACACCUGUGGCGAAAGCGGCGCACUGGACCACAACUGACGCUGAGGCGCGAAAGCUAGGGGAGCAAACAGG
rnacentral:rRNA from 1 species